rnacentral:rRNA from 1 species
AACAGGGGUUCGAUCAUGGCUCAGAUUGAACGCUGGCGGGAUGCUUUACACAUGCAAGUCGAACGGCAGCGCGGACUUCGGUCUGGUGGCGAGUGGCAGGCAGGUGAAGUAAUGUAUCGGAACGUGCUAGUAAUAGCGAGGGGAUAACUACGCGAAAGCGUAGCUAAUACCACAUACGCCCUUCGGGGGAAAGCGGGGGACCUUCGGGCCUCGCACUAUUAGAGCGGCCGAUAUCGGAUUAGCUAGUUGGUGGGGUAACGGCUCACCAAGGCGACGAUCCGUAGCUGGUUUGAGAGACGACCAGCCACACUGGGACUGAGACACGGCCCAGACUCCUACGGGAGGCAGCAGUGGGGGAAUUUUGGACAAUGGAAACCCUGAUCCAGCCAUCCCGCGUGCCGCGAUGAGAGCCUUCCGGAGUUAUCGGCACUUUGGCAGGAAAGAAACGGCACCGGGAUUAUGCCCCCGUGCAACUGACGGUACCUGCAGAAUAACGCGAUAACUACGUGCCAGCAGCGCGGUAAUACGUAGGGUGCAAGCGUUAAUCGGAAUUACUGGGCGUAAAGCGUGCACAGGCGGUUCGGAAAAAGAAAGAUGUGAAAUCCCAGAGCUUAACUUUGGAACUGCAUUUUUAACUACCGAGCUAGAGUGUGUGUCAGAGGAGGUGGAAUUCCGCGAUGGCAACUGUGAAAUCGUAGAUAUGCGGAGGAGCUUUCCGAUGGCGAAGGCAGCCUCCUGGGAUAACACUGACGCUCAUGCACAGCGUGGGGAGCAAACAGGAUUAGAUACCUGGUAGUCCACGCCCUAAACGAUGUCAACUAGCUGUUGGGGCCUUCGGGCCUUGGUAGCGCAACUAACGCGUGAAGUUGACCGCCUGGGAAGUACGGUCGCAAGAUUAAAACUCAAAGGAAUCGACGGGGACCCGCACAAGCGAUGGAUGAUGUGGAUUAAUUCGAUGCAACGCGAAAAACCUUACCUACCCUUGACAUGUCUGGAAUCCCGAAGAGAUUUGGGAGUGCUCGCAAGAGAACGGAACACAGGUGCUGCAUGGCUGUCGUCCUUGAAAACACGUGUCGUGAGAUGUUGGGAGUUCAGUCCGCAACGAGCGCAACCACUUGUCGGUAGUUGCUGCGAGGCAUAAUACGGACUGGUGACAAACGGAGGAAGGUGGGGAUGACGUCAAGUCCUCGCCUUGGCCCUUAUGGGUAGGGCUUCACACGUCAUACAAUGGUCGGGACAGAGGGUCGCCAACCCGCGAGGGGAGUCAAUCCCAGAAACCCGAUCGUAGUCUGGAUCGCAGUGCAACUCGACUGCGUGAAGUCGGAAUCGCUAGUAAUCGCGGAUCAGCAUAUCGCGGUGAAUACGUUCCCGGGUCUUGUACACCGCCCGUCACACCAUGGGAGUGGGUUUUACCAAGUAGUUAGCCUAACAAUGGAGAGCGGGAAUUACCACGGUAGGAUUCAUGACUGGGGUGAAGUCGUAACAAGGUAG